rnacentral:rRNA from 1 species
AUCUACAGCCAUACCGCCCUGAACUCAUCCAAUCUCAUCUGAUCUUGGAAGCUAAACAGGGUUGGGCCUGGUUAGUUCUUGGAUGGGAGAAAUAAAUACAUAAUCAUGGACACUGAAGACC